rnacentral:rRNA from 1 species
AUUGAGGGGAGUUGCUCCUAGUACGAGAGGACCGGAGUGAACGGACCGCUGGUCUCCCUGCUGUCGUACCAACGGCACAUGCAGGGUAGCUAUGUCCGGAACGGAUAACCGCUGAAAGCAUCUAAGCGGGAAGCCAGCCCCAAGAUGAGUUCUCCCACUGUUUAUCAGGUAAGACUCCCGGAAGACCACCGGGUUAAGAGGCCAGGCGUGCACGCAUAGCAAUGUGUUCAGCGGACUGGUGCUCAUCAGUCG